rnacentral:rRNA from 1 species
UACGGGGGGAGCAAGCGUUGUUCGGAUUUACUGGGCGUAAAGGGCGCGUAAGCGGCCACCGCAAGUCAGUUGUGAAAUCUCUGGGCUUAACCCAGAAAGGUCAACUGAUACUGCGGGGCUAGAGUGCAGAAGGGGCAACUGGAAUUCUCGGUGUAGCGGUGAAAUGCGUAGAUAUCGAGAGGAACACCUGCGGCGAAGGCGGGUUGCUGGGCUGACACUGACGCUGAUGCGCGAAAGCUAGGGGAGCGAACGGG